GUUCUUAUAGUUGAAUUACAACGAUGGUUUUUCAUAUCAUUGGUCGUGGUUAAAUUCCAUGUGGGAAUU
rnacentral:tRNA from 4 species